rnacentral:rRNA from 1 species
GUGCCAGCCGCUGCGGUAAUACGUAGGGCGCAAGCGUUGUCCGGAAUUAUUGGGCGUAAAGAGCUCGUAGGCGGUUUGUCGCGUCUGCUGUGAAAACUCGAGGCUCAACCUCGGGCCUGCAGUGGGUACGGGCAGACUAGAGUGCGGUAGGGGAGACUGGAAUUCCUGGUGUAGCGGUGGAAUGCGCAGAUAUCAGGAGGAACACCGAUGGCGAAGGCAGGUCUCUGGGCCGCAACUGACGCUGAGGAGCGAAAGCAUGGGGAGCGAACAGGAUUAGAUACCCUGGUAGUCCAUGCCGUAAACGUUGGGCACUAGGUGUGGGGCUCAUUCCACGAGUUCCGUGCCGCAGCAAACGCAUUAAGUGCCCCGCUGGGGAGUACGGCCGCAAGGCUAAAACUCAAAGAAUUGACGGGGCCCGCACAAGCGGCGGAGCAUGCGGAUUAAUUCGAUGCAACGCGAAGAACCUUA